GGUCGUUGACCUCCUGCUGUUAAAGAGGUCGUUGACCUCCUGCUGUUAAAGAGGUCGUUGACCUCCUGCUGUUAAAGAGGUCGUUGACCUCCUGCUGUUAAAGAGGUCAUUGACCUCCUGCUGUUAAAGAGGUCGUUGACCUCCUGCUGUUAAAGAGGUCGUUGACCUCCUGUUGUUAAAGAGGUCGUUGACCUCCUGCUGCUGUUGUUGACCUCCUGCUGUUAAAGAGGUCGUUGACCUCCUGCUGUUAAAGAGGUUGUUGACCUCCUGCUGUUAAAGAGGUCGUUGACCUCCUGCUGCUGUUGUUGACCUCCUGCUGUUAAAGAGGUCGUUGACCUCCUGCUGCUGUUGUUGACCUCCUGCUGUUAAAGAGGUCGUUGACCUCCUGCUGUUAAAGAGGUCGUUGACCUCCUGCUGUUAAAGAGGUUGUUGACCUCCUGCUGUUAAAGAGGUCGUUGACCUCCUGCUGUUAAAGAGGUCGUUGACCUCCUGCUGUUAAAGAGGUCGUUGACCUCCUGCUGUUAAAGAGGUUGUUGACCUCCUGUUGUUAAAGAGGUCGUUGACCUCCUGCUGUUAAAGAGGUCGUUGACCUCCUGCUGCUGUUGUUGACCUCCUGCUGUUAAAGAGGUCGUUGACCUCCUGCUGUUAAAGAGGUCGUUGACCUCCUGCUGUUAAAGAGGUCGUUGACCUCCUGCUGUUAAAGAGGUCGUUGACCUCCUGCUGUUAAAGAGGUCGUUGACCUCCUGCUGUUAAAGAGGUCGUUGACCUCCUGCUGUUAAAGAGGUCGUUGACCUCCUGCUGCUGUUGUUGACCUCCUGCUGUUAAAGAGGUCGUUGACCUCCUGCUGUUAAAGAGGUCGUUGACCUCCUGCUGUUAAAGAGGUCGUUGACCUCCUGCUGCUGUUGUUGACCUCCUGCUGUUAAAGAGGUCGUUGACCUCCUGCUGUUAAAGAGGUCGUUGACCUCCUGCUGUUAAAGAGGUCGUUGACCUCCUGCUGUUAAAGAGGUCGUUGACC